rnacentral:pre_miRNA from 1 species
CUACUACUCCCUCCGUCCGAAAAUACUUGUCAUUGAAAUGAUUGUAUCUAGAUGUAUUUUAGUUCUAGACACAUCCAUUUUGAUGAUAAGUAAUUCCGGACGGAGGGAGUAUUAU